rnacentral:rRNA from 1 species
UACGUAGGUGGCAAGGGUUGUCCGGAAUUAUUGGGCGUAAAGCGCGCGCAGGUGGUUCCUUAAGUCUGAUGUGAAAGCCCCCGGCUCAACCGGGGAGGGUCAUUGGAAACUGGGGAACUUGAGUGCAGAAGAGGAUAGUGGAAUUCCAUGUGUAGCGGUGAAAUGCGUAGAUAUAUGGAGGAACACCGGUGGCGAAAGCGGCUCUCUGGUCUGUAACUGACGCUGAGGCUCGAAAGCGUGGGGAGCAAACAGG